rnacentral:lncRNA from 1 species
GCCACUUACUAGUGAACAGAAUCAUAUCCAAAAUGAUGCGACGGUGUCAGUUCAGUGAGAAUACUGAUUCUUUCUACAUGUAAAAUAUAUUUGAAUGCUGGUACUGCUGUCACCAUUGCUGCUCAACACUGAAUCCCUAUCCUGGUACCACUGCCAUCCUUAUCCCAGAAAAAAAGGAUUUGCUGUUGCCACAGACACUGAAAUCAUGGAUGUUACACAGUUCAUGUUUCUGUAGUUCCCAAUUCAGUGCCUGGAAGAGAGGCUUAUGGUUAGAGGAGUGUAGGACCUCUACACUCAGACACAAGGUUAUUUGGAAAGCAAAUAUCUGGGUAGGUAUUUGUGGUAGGAUAAAAGCUCUUAACAAAAACACAUACUGAGGAAUUGCUUAAAUAACAAAGAAAGAUCUCUUCACAUGCAUCAGAACCUCCACGACAGCAAAUAUCUUAAUGAAGACAGGGAGUUCCCCCUCCCUCUCUCUGUCACCCUUUCUCCCUGAGCCUUCUCUCUUUCUCUCUUAACUACAAUGAGUUUUAAUAAAAUUUAAAUCCUCCAUGAACACGAGUAGAUUGUAAUUGGAGAAAUAGGAGGAAGACUAAAAUUCAGCUCCUGACGAAGGUUAUAUUAUUCAGUCCAGAUUUACCAUUCACAAAGCUGAUACAACCAUCUUAAUUUGAAAUGUAUCUAUUUCUCACUUUAUUCACAAUCUAUAUGAAAGGAAGAGUAAUGAUAAUUUCAAACCUCAAAACCCAAUAGACAUAUUGCCUGAACAAUGAAGUCAAAGUGUUUUGGCUUUUAACUCAAGAAAAGUUACACAGAGGCAGCACCUUCAUUAGAUUUGCUGUUCCAUGCAGUGGUGUAUGGCCCUGCAGUGCAGAAACUGGAUUUUUUCUGUUUUGCACAUGUUCACUUUUAGCAAUGAUUCACAUAAGUAAAAUUUUCAUAAGAUAUAUAUGUUAUGUAUAUAUGAAAAACAUAAUCCCAAUGUACUAACUUAAAUAUAUUCCUUUCUCAGAAUUUGGUAUGUUCUUUCUUAUCACAGUUUCUUAUGAAACAACUGGUGGCUGAUCCCAUGGGUUAAAUAGCACGACUUAAUUUGCAAACUAGUUCUCUCUUGCUACUUCCAACUAUUGGGGCUUUCUCACCUUCUAGAGUUAAAGAUGGCCUUGUGUGCUGGAUAUAACCAAUAAGUUAUCAUAGGAAGUCUAACGGGUCAUAGAAUUUUGAGAAAACUUUUGCUUAAUUGAUAAAACAUUUCAAAAUCUAGCUGGCAUUACUCCUUUCCUUUUAAUACUGCCUUUAAUGUACAUGUGGAGCAGUGGCUAUCAUUUUGUAAAACUGAAAGACAAAUCAACAUGUUUAGGACAGUAGGGCAGUAAUAUAGAAAGAUCUCAAUUCCUUAAAUAUACUGUUUAACAGCUGGAUAAAUACUAGUUUAAUGAUAAUUGUUAAUUUAACAAUAAAUGUCUUAUAUUUCACGCCACCAUUGGCCACAUAUUUUGUCAACUGAAACCAAAACUGUUCUCCUGAUACAAAUAGUAAACAUGAAACAUAUGAAAAAUAGUGCUUAUUUAUUAUUUUAUUAGAAAGAAUGUUUCAUAUAAACUUUAGAAAACACAGUGAAAUAAUCUGACGACACAAAAUUGAUGAUAUUACUUUUUCUUUUUUUUUUUUGGUCUUUUCUAAGGCCACACCUGGGCAUAUGGAGGUUCCCAGGUUAGGGGUCUAAUAGGAGCUGCAGCUGCCAGCCUACGCCAGAGCCACAGCAACACAGGAUCUGAGCUGUGUCUGUGACCUACACCACAGCUCACGGCAAUGCCAGAUCCUUAACCCACUGAACAAGGCCAGGGAUGGAACCCAGAACCUCAUCAUUCCUGUCGGAUUCAUUAACCACUGAGCCAUGAUGGGGACUCCGAAGAUAUUUCUUUAGAGAUAAAACUGGCCCUAAGGCUUUGUGUCCAAUGUAUUUCUUGUGCGGACCAUAUUUAAUGUACUGUGGCUUUUAUCUAUGAAAGCUUAUUUUUCAUUAUUUUAUAUUGGUCACCAAUUGCAUGGAAAAAUUCACAUUUCUAAUUAAACUGUUUACUUUUUUCUAGUAGAUAUUGUGUCUUUUAUCUUCAAAGGUUAGUAUUCAUCAGUCUCUUGAUUACAAUGGCAUCUUAGAAUUACUGCUUUGAGGGCUGAAGUUUGAUUUUACAAUUAAUUAGCUCUUAAUCCUAAGCAAGUUAUUUAAUUAGAGCUUUAUAAAUCUGUCUUAAAUGAUACCUUGGAUAUUUAAUUUUUAAAUAUACUCUGAAGCUUCUCUAGCAUUGCAAUAUCUAGGCUUCCCUCAAAAAAAAAGACUCUAUUUCAAUAAAUAGCUUACAAAUUUUCAUCACAGAUUUUCUAACUCUUACCUUUAUAAUUUUCUCUUUAGAAGCAAAAAGAAAACAUUUACAAAAGCAUAUACUAAAAUGUUUUUGAAAUUGAAAUUAAUACAGUCAAAAUAAUAUAAUCAUAAUUAAUGAAAUAGUCAAAUAAUAAAUUUGUAAUUAUUUAAAAUCAUAUAUAGAAUUCGGUGUGAUUACAAAGACACAUCACAGAAUUUAUGCAGAAUAUGAGUUUUUCUUUCUGCUGUCCUCAAAGACUCAGACAUACAGACAUUUAGGUUAAAGUACUUAUUUUCCUCUUAAUAAAAAGGGAAAUCUGUAAUGCAUUUUUUUUUCAGAAAAUAUUAUUUACUAUAAAUGGCAUUUAACACCUAACUUAGCUGGUAAGACAGUUAUGAAUGAUCACAUUAUUUAAGCUAUUAAUGCAAAGCAUGACCCAUGUCUAUCUGAGAUGUUUAGAGGGGAUUAAUAGGCUGUAUGUAAAAUUGAUAGCUAAAUCUUAGGUUAAAAAAGUACAUUUCUAGUCCUAUCUUUAAUAUUGUCAUUUUGGUCAUUUUAGAGUUUGCUUGGUUUUUAGAAUUUCAGCUGGCUUCAAUUUCUUGGCGGUGUAAUAAAUAGCUACUCUUUUCUCUCUUAAUGUUUAUACAUAUUCAAUACUAAAUUAUUUAAAUUCAAUUUUAAUGUGUGAUAAUUUAAGCAGAUAAAUUAGGCUAUUCAGAAUGAAAUCUGAUUACAUGACCAUUGAAAGGUAAUAUCAUAUGCAGCUUGCUACAACCAUAAAAUAAUUCUUUAUAAAGGAACUUGGAACUUUAAUUACAUGUGUAUAUCAUUUCAUAUUAUUAUCAAAAUUGUUACAUUCUCCUUUACAUACAAUUCUCAUUUAGUCUGUCUCAUUUAAUGUUUCCCACAUUCAUUGUAAUAGUUUCUCAACUUUAAAUGUGGGCCUUUGUCAUAUAUUCCUAUUAAUGCUAUAUAGGCAUGCACUUUACCUACCUUAUUCCCAAAAGGUAUUUAAUACUACCAUAAUGUCCUUUCACAAGGAAUCUGAAUAAUAAUCAGAGACCACAGGGACCGUUUGGAGUUGUAAUAAAGACUGACUCCAUUUUUGAUGUUUGAUUCUUGACAGCUUUCAAAUCCUACUGCUUCUCCUAAGCACUUGGUGAGGUUGAUAAAGGAAGUCUGGGUGCUCUCUCUUUUUGUGCUGAUAGGAUGUUCAAAGCAUGUGAUCCCUGGCCUUUGUAUAAGAACCCUCACCCAGCUCUACUCCCUAAUCAUAAAGGAGAACCAAUCUUCUUUUAGACCAGCUUGGGACAUUAUCAUGCUCUCACCCCAGAAAGCCUUGCUAUAUAAGUAAGAAAAAUUUUCAUACCCUCUUGGGGUGUGUGUGUGUGUAUGUGUGUGUGUCUGUGUGUGUGUUUGGCAUUAUUAGUUUCAAUACCUUAAACGAAUGCUGUGUGGGGUAUCCAGCCCAUCUUUGUGAGUUGGUUACAACAGCUGGCACUAUGAGAAGUUUGUCAAGGCAAUAAUCACUAUAACUAGCUGUCAUUGUUCUUUUGCUUUGGUUUGCUGCCUGCUGAUGAGCAUGCUCUUUUAGCUGUGCCUCUCUGUGCUCGAUUUUCUGAGUCCUAUUGAGCCUCUUAUAGAUUAAUGAACCAUGUUGGAAAUUUCAAUAACUGACCAUUAAGGAAAAGAGUAUGAGACUUGGCCCUCCUUAACGUGGCCCUGAGUCAAGUGUCAUGACCCAGAUUAUCUUUAUGUCACAGAUUGAGUCAUGUGUCUCAAUUAUAAUGUAAGCCAUGCCUGAUGCUAGACUCAGGAGAACAACUCUUACUCUGUGACUACUGGUUAUGUGUCUAAACCAGAUAUAGGCCCCCAUUUGACAGAGUACUCAGAGGAAAAACUGAUAUUCUUUGUAACAAUUUUAAUUGAUUCUUGAGAUUCAAGCUACAUUCAUAUCUAGGAUUUCACCAUAUUUAAUUAAGGUAACCCCCCUAUUCUCUCUGAGAAAUUACCAAACAUAAAAGUCUUAUCUUAACUACUACUACUUACUUAACUGCUACUACUACAAAGUAGCUACUGCUUUGCCGAAAAAACCCUGUGAUCAUAGUACAUAUGGCCCUAAAAUAUCCCACGGUGGGCAUGAUCAUUCUGACUCAUGAGUAAUACAUUUAAAUUGUUAAGUCUUGACACUUAACAAUCAGCUCUACACAAAUGGGAUCUGCCAUGGACUUCCCCCUGUUUCCAUCCAAUUAAAAUAUCUAAUAUGAUUCAUAUAAAUCACAACUGGCCUUCAAGGAUUGAAACCCACUAUACAAAACUUAUUUUUAUCAGGAUUGAUUUCCCCCCACCAUGUCUCAAUUUAACAGCAUAACCAGGCCUGCUCUUAAACUUGGAAAAAAAUGAAUGGAGGCUCCUUAUAGAUUUCAGCAAUCUUUAGAUCAUGAGUUCCCCACUAAGUCACUUAUUUUAAUACUAUUGAAAUUCCUGACUCUUUCCAAUCAGAAACUAAUGAACACUUUAUAAUUACAGAUUUGGCUGAUAUGUUCUGUUCAUUGCCUGUUUCAACAACCUCUUGGCUGUAGUUUGCUUUAAGUUCAAAGAAACAGAAUGCACUUUUACCUAACUACCCUGGGGUACCUCAACUUCCCUGCCAUCUCACACAAUCUUCAUAGAAAAGAAUUAACCUCAUUCAACUUCCUCCAGGAGCACAGGUAUGACAUCAUAUCAAUGACAUUCUCCAAAGAGAUUCACUGGACAAAGUCAUUCAGGGUAUACAAAAACUCACAAAGAACCUUUACCAAAAGGGGGUGGGCCAUUGGCCCUCCCAUAGUACAAGGCCCCACCAUUUAGGCUAAAUUCCUAAAAAUUAUUUGAUCAGUCAAGGGUUACUCUGUCGCUGACUCUGUCAAGAAACAAAUAUUGACCUGCUCAGCACCAGCAAAGUUAACAUGAGCUGGACAUAUUUUAGGCCUUUUUAUGUUCUGAAGGUUAAUACUGUCUCAAUUUAUAAAUUUUACUAGAGUCCAUUUAUGCAGCUACUUGCUAAUCAUCCACUUUGAUUGGAGUACUUUACUAGAAAAGGCCUUAGAAUCCAUCCAAAUCACAAUACAGUAGGCACUCUCUUUAAUACCUCUAGACACUCCUUCACCUUAGCUUUAGGAAUCUCCUCUCAUACCUCUUGGAGUAACUGAAUCAACCAUGAUGUCAAUAAAUUUCCUUUGGACCUCUGGAACAUAAAGUGUCCAUGGACUUCUGGACUGCAAAGCAUUAGUGCAUCAGUUGCUGGCUGCACACAGAGCUCAUAUAGGCCCUUAGUCUACGAUGCUUCAUAUUCAGCUGCUCAUUAUGCCUUUGGUCAUAAAAGCAGCACCCUGCAACCCUGGUCCAGCCACUAAAGUCUCCUUCAUAAGAUAAAAAGGUACCUACAAGAUAGAGCUAAAUCUGGGUUCUCUGACAUACCCUGGUUGCAGCAGAAUGGCCUCAUUGUCCCUAGUCCAUAGUCAAAUGCAUGGUGCUAAAGAAGGUCACUCCUUUGUGUAUAUAUACCACAGAAAGACAAAGACAAAUACCAUAUGAUAUCACUUAUAACUGGAAUCUAAUAUCCAGCACAAAUGAGCAUCUCCUCAGAAAAGAAAAUCAUGGACUUGGAGAAGAGACUUGUGGCUGCCUGAUGGGAGGGGGAGGGAGUGGGAGGGAUCGGGAGCUUGGGCUUAUCAGACACAACCUAGAAUAGAUUUACAAGGAGAUCCUGCUGAAUAGCAUUGAGAACUUUGUCUAGAUACUCAUGUUGCAACAGAAGAAAGGGUGGGGGAAAAAUGUAAUUGUAAUGUAUACAUGUAAGGAUAACCUGACCCCCUCGCUGUACAGUGGGAAAAUAAAAAAAAUUAUUAAAAAAAAAAAAAA